UCUUGUCCUCAAUGCUGGCGG
rnacentral:misc_RNA from 1 species